GCGGGGCCAAAGGAGGUGCCUGUGGGCCAGACCCCACCUCCUCCAGGAAGACCCUCGCUCUCGGUAGAACUGGGAGACCCAGUUACUGUUACUAAUAUUUUGAAGGCAUCAAUGAUCCAGGUGUGUUCCAACUAAACAGAAAUUAGUUUCUGCUCUAUGGGAAAGUUCUACUGCAUUAUAUAGUCUCCAUGAAAUGUUCCUCGGUGUUAGACAAUAACUGCUUGCUAACAAGAUCUCUCAAAUGUGGAGUAAAGGUAUCUUGUAUCUUUCAGUUUCGUCAGAAUCUUAAUCUUGUUAAACCCCAACAAAUAACUUAGUUUAUUCAGGCAGUUUAUAUUUAGUGGCAUAAACACAUUUAUUUAUUUCAAAAACUUUGUUAUAAAUUUCAUGCUUUUUGGCUAAUCUGGCAGUCUUUAAAAAGGGAGGAAAAUAGGCUGAUAUAUAAACUAACACCCAGCAUAAUACCUGGCAUUCUGUAGGUACAGUGUAGGUAUUGGGAUAUAUUUAGAAAUUAGAAAAGAUAAUGGUCAAAAUCAGAACUUGAAAACUGAAUCUCUGCAAGGCAAUCCAAAUUUUCCUAAACGACAAUCUACAUUCAAGUAAUUAAUUAUUAAAUGUGUUAAGUUUUGCAUUGCCUUACUUGAAGCAUGGAACUGUAUUGAAUUACUU